rnacentral:lncRNA from 1 species
GAAUUAGAUUCCAUGUCCUGUGAGGUCACAAAAGAGGGCACUAUUAAGUUUCAGGGGGUUCUGGGAAAAGAAGAGUUUUAUGAAAGAAAUGACUCUUGAGCUGAGUCCUGGAGGAUGAACAGUUGUUUCUUUGACAGACAAUUUGAGGGAGGCUAUUUUAGGCCUGGGCACAAAGAUGUGAAGUAGCUGUGCAUAUUCAGGAAGGUGCUACUAUUUAGCAGAACUGUUAUAAGACCUAAGAGGAGCCAUGGAUGAGGCUAGACAGGUAGACAGAGACCGAAGCAUGGGGAAGAUUAUUGCCCAGUCCCUGUAAACAAUGAUGAGGCUCUAAUGGAUGUCAGAUGAGGGAAGGGCAUACAGAAAAUCAGAAAGCUCAGCCUGAUUGCAAAUGCUGAAGGAAGGAGGUACUUGCCCUUGGGUAAUAGAGGUUAUUUCAGAUAUCCAGAAAAUUCUCCUGGAGUUUCAGGUUCUAGAUGAGGAUCCAUGAAUACUGACAUGAAUAAGACCAAGCUCUGCCUCCAGGACUCAUGGUCCACAGGACACGUCAAACGGAGUCUCCAAUAGUUCUGUCUUUAAAAGCGUUUCUGCCAAGAUUGAUAACCUCAGAACUGAGUCUGGGAAGCAAACAAUCCAACAUCCAGAUGGAUGAAAAGCAUGGAGUAGUGACAUCUUGGUGGGCUUCUCUUAUAAUUUCAUAGUGAGCACAGAAAGGAAAGCCUAAUGGAUACAGUUGGGAUGACAACUGUGUAUGAUUUUUAAGAGGGUGAGCUUGAGACAGGGCAAUAGAGUUACUCCAAAAAAAUAUGAGGAGCAAUGAAAAGGGAGUAUAAUAUCCAGAGGAGAUUCACUAAUUUAACCCCAUGAACAACUUCAUGUUUUUUCUACAAUACCAUAGGCAACAACAACAACAAAAAAAUCACGAACAUUUAUUAUAGCGCAAUGUGACUUAUCAUGUCUCUUAAUAUUGUAGUAUAUCCUUGAAAAUGUAGAAUGACUAGAAAUUGUGACCACAAGAAAAUGCCACGUGAAAUAAGUAAAAUUCAAUUGCAUAGUAUUUUAAAUGUCCCUAUGGUUUUUGUGGUGCUAAGAAUACAAAGACACACACAAUUCCAAGAUUAAAGACUAUAAAUCCAGAUAGAAAAUAUAUUUAAAUAUUUUAGGAUUUUAAAAGUUCAAAUGAUUUAGUAUUGGAAGAAAAAAUACAUAUUUAUGAGCUCAAGAAAAGCACUAAACCCUGGUGAGCCUGGUAGAUUUCUGAGAAUAGGGGUACCAGGUACAAGUUAAAUACAGGGACCCAGCAAAUUUCUACCACUUAGUAGUAGUGAUUGAGAGCAAGUAUCCAACGUCUCCAACCUCAAAUUUUCUCAUCAAUAAAAUGAGGAUGAUAUCUCA